UACGUAGGGUGCAAGCGUUAUCCGGAAUUACUGGGCGUAAAGCGUGCGUAGGCGGUUUGUUAAGUCGGCUGUGAAAGCCCUGGGCUCAACCUGGGAAUUGCAGUGGAUACUGGCAAGCUAGAGUGCGGUAGAGGAUGGUGGAAUUCCCGGUGUAGCGGUGAAAUGCGUAGAGAUCGGGAGGAACACCAGUGGCGAAGGCAGCCAUCUGGGACGGCACUGACGCUGAGGCGCGAAAGCGUGGGGAGCAAACAGG
rnacentral:rRNA from 1 species